AUUGAACGCUGGCGGCAGGCUUAACACAUGCAAGUCGAGCGGGGUGAUGGUGCUUGCACUAUCACUUAGCGGCGGACGGGUGAGUAAUGCUUAGGAAUCUGCCUAUUAGUGGGGGACAACAUCUCGAAAGGGAUGCUAAUACCGCAUACGUCCUACGGGAGAAAGCAGGGGAUCACUUGUGACCUUGCGCUAAUAGAUGAGCCUAAGUCGGAUUAGCUAGUUGGUGGGGUAAAGGCCUACCAAGGCGACGAUCUGUAGCGGGUCUGAGAGGAUAUGCCGCCACACUGGGACUGAGACACGGCCCAGACGCCUACGGGAGGCAGCAGUGGGGAAUAUUGGAAAAUGGGGGGAACCCUGUUCCAGCCAUGCCGCGUGUGUGAAGAAGGCCUUAUGGUUGUAAAGCACUUUAAGCGAGGAGGAGGCUCUUUUGGUUAAUACCCAAGAUGAGUGGACGUUACUCGCAGAAUAAGCACCGGCUAACUCUGUGCCAGCCGCCGCCGUAA
rnacentral:rRNA from 1 species